AGUGAACGCUGGCGGUAGGCCUAACACAUGCAAGUCGAACGGCAGCACAGUAAGAGCUUGCUCUUACGGGUGGCGAGUGGCGGACGGGUGAGGAAUACAUCGGAAUCUACUUUUUCGUGGGGGAUAACGUAGGGAAACUUACGCUAAUACCGCAUACGACCUACGGGUGAAAGCAGGGGAUCUUCGUACCUUGCGCGAUUGAAUGAGCCGAUGUCGGAUUAGCUAGUUGGCGGGGUAAAGGCCCACCAAGGCGACGAUCCGUAGCUGGUCUGAGAGGAUGAUCAGCCACACUCGAACUGAGACACGGUCCAGACUCCUACGGGAGGCAGCAGUGGGGAAUAUAGGACAAUGGGCGCAAGCCUGAUCCAGCCAUACCGCGUGGGUGAAGAAGGCCUUCGGGUUGUAAAGCCCUUUUGUUGGGAAAGAAAAGCAGCAGGUUAAUACCCCGCUGUUCUGACGGUAACCAAAGAAUAAGCACCGGCUAACUUCGUA
rnacentral:rRNA from 1 species